CUCAGAACGAACGCUGGCGGCGUGGAUUAGGCAUGCAAGUCGAACGAGAAAGGCUCCUUCGGGAGCUGAGUACAGUGGCAAACGGGUGAGUAACGCGUGGGAAACCUGCCCUUCAGUUGGGGACAACACCUCUAACGGGGUGCUAAUACCGAAUACCAUCUUCUGGUCGCAUGGCCGGAUGAUGAAAGGCGGCCUCUGCUUGCAAGCUGUCGCUGAAGGAUGGUCCCGCGUCCCAUUAGUUAGUUGGUGAGGUAACGGCUCACCAAGGCGACGAUGGGUAGCCGGCCUUAGCGGGUGACCGGCCACACUGGGACUGAGAUACGGCCCAGACUCCUACGGGAGGCAGCAGUCGAGAGGCAUCCACAAUGGGGGAAACCCUGAUGGUGCGACGCCGCGUGGACGAUGACGGCCUUCGGGUUGUAAAGUCCUUUCAGCAGGGACGACAGAUCGGCGGGUGAAUAAUCCGUUGGUUCAGACGGUACCUGCAGAAGAAGCUCCGGCUAACUCCGUGCCAGCAGCCGCGGUAAGACGGGGGGAGCGAGCGUUGUUCGGAAUUACUGGGCGUAAAGGGCGUCUAGGCGGAUGUGUAAGUCAGAUGUGAAAUCCCCCGGCUUAACCGGGGAACUGCAUUUGAUACUGCAUGUCUUGAGUGCGGAAGAGGAAAGCGGAAUUCCUGGUGUAGCGGUGAAAUGCGUAGAUAUCAGGAAGAACACCGGUGGCGAAGGCGGUUUUCUGGUCCGAUACUGACGCUGAAGCGCGAAAGUGUGGGGAGCAAACAGGAUUAGAUACCCUGGUAGUCCACACUGUAAACGAUGGAUGCUAGGUGUCGGGGGUAUCGACCCCCCCGGUGCCGGAGUUAACGCAUUAAGCAUCCCGCCUGGGGAUUACGGUCGCAAGGCUGAAACUCAAAGGAAUUGACGGGGACCCGCACAAGCGGUGGAGCAUGUUGCUUAAUUCGACGCAACGCGAAGAACCUUACCGGGGUUUGACGUGUACCUGAAGGGCGUGGAGACACGUUCCGUCUUCGGACAGGUACAUCAGGUGCUGCAUGGCUGUCGUCAGCUCGUGCCGUGAGGUGUCGGGUUAAGUCCUUUAACGAGCGCAACCCUCGUCUGUAGUUGCCAUCAGGUGAAGCUGGGCACUCUGCGGAGACUGCCGGUGACAAAACCGGAGGAAAGGUGGGGACGACGUCAAGUCAUCAUGGCCCUUACGUCCCGGGCUGCAAACGUGCUACAAUGGUCGGCACAAAGGGCCGCAAUGCCGCGAGGUGGAGCUAAUCCCAAAAAACCGGCCUCAGUUCGGAUUGCAGUCUGCAACUCGACUGCAUGAAGGUGGAAUCGCUAGUAAUCGCGGAUCAGCAUGCCGCGGUGAUACGUUCCCGGGUCUUGUACACACCGCCCGUCAAGUGAUGAAAGCCGGGGGUACCACGAAGUCGUUGGCCCAACCGCAAGGAGGGCGGCGCCGAAG
rnacentral:rRNA from 1 species